AGGCAGAGGAUAUAUGUUUUAUCAGUGAAAUCUAGUAGUUUACCGAGCCUGUCUUUGGUUUAGAUACUUCUUUAUUGAAUAGUACAUACAAUGGAAGGAAAAGAAAAUACCAUCAGCAAUGGGGGAAAAUUGGCAUGCUGUUCGCGAAUCCAUCCCAAAACCUCAUUUGCCAUCACAUACCACAGAGAAAGGGACUGACCAAUGUCUCCUGCCUUCAAUAGCCUGGAAACAGACGGUCUAGGAAUGAGAUUUCCCGGAUAUAAUGGGAAAAGCAUCCAAAAGAAGAAAAUAAAAGUGAUAGUGAAAAUGGAAGUGACACAAAAGAAAAUGAAGCAUUCAAGAAAAGCUGUCAAAAAUGAGAGGUCAUAUUUUCCUAUAAGCCUCUUGCCAUAUCAGUGGAAAGUGGAAGACGCGUUGA
rnacentral:sRNA from 1 species